UGCCUGGUAGCGGGGGAUAACUAUUGGAAACGAUAGCUAAUACCGCAUAACAGUAGAUAUCGCAUGAUAUCUGCUUGAAAGGUGCAAUUGCAUCACUACCAGAUGGACCUGCGUUGUAUUAGCUAGUUGGUGGGGUAACGGCUCACCAAGGCGACGAUACAUAGCCGACCUGAGAGGGUGAUCGGCCACACUGGGACUGAGACACGGCCCAG
rnacentral:rRNA from 1 species